GAUGAACGCUAGCGACAGGCUUAACACAUGCAAGUCGAGGGGCAGCAUAAAAGUAGCAAUACUUUGGUGGCGACCGGCGCACGGGUGAGUAACGCGUAUGCAACCUACCUAUCAGAGGGGGAUAACCCGGCGAAAGUCGGACUAAUACCGCAUAAAACAGGGGCACCGCAUGGUGAUAUUUGUUAAAAAUUUAUUGCUGAUAGAUGGGCAUGCGUUCCAUUAGGUAGUUGGAGAGGUAACGGCUCACCAAGCCCACGAUGGAUAGGGGAACUGAGAGGUUGGUCCCCAACUGGUACUGAGACACGGACCAGACUCCUACGGGAGGCAGCAGUGAGGAAUAUUGGUCAAUGGGCGAGAGCCUGAACCAGCCAAGUCGCGUGAAGGAAGAAGGAUCUAUGGUUCGUAAACUUCUUUUGCAGGGGAAUAAAGUGCAGGACGUGUCCUGUUUUGUAUGUACCCUGAGAAUAAGGAUCGGUAACUCCGUGCCAGCAGCCGCGGUAAACAC
rnacentral:rRNA from 1 species